rnacentral:rRNA from 1 species
AGUGAACGCUGGCGGUAGGCCUAACACAUGCAAGUCGAACGGCAGCACAGUAAGAGCUUGCUCUUACGGGUGGCGAGUGGCGGACGGGUGAGGAAUACAUCGGAAUCUACUUUUUCGUGGGGGAUAACGUAGGGAAACUUACGCUAAUACCGCAUAUGACCUACGGGUGAAAGUAGGGGAUCUUCGGACCUUGCGCGAUUGAAUGAGCCGAUGUCGGAUUAGCUAGUUGGCGGGGUAAAGGCCCACCAAGGCGACGAUACGUAGCUGGUCUGAGAGGAUGGUAAGCCACCAUAGAACUUGGACCACGUCCAGACUACUACGGGAGGCAGCAGUGGGGAAUAUUGGACAAUGGGCGAAAGCCUGAUACAGACAUACCGCGUGGGUGAAGAAGGCCUUCGGGUUGUAAAGCCCUUUUGUUGGGAAAGAAAAGCAGCAGGUUAAUACCCCGCUGUUCUGACGGUACCCAAAGAAUAAGCACCGGCUAACUUCGUG